rnacentral:rRNA from 1 species
AUGUUUUUUGCCCCAGUUGCUCCGAUCCGACGAGCCAAGAAGAUGAACGGCGCGCCGAUCCCCGCGGCGGCCGGCGCCGACGCCGCGGCGCCCAGGAAGAAUGCGGUCGCCGAGAUGGCCAGGCACCUCACCGUCGACACGGACGACGCCUUCGCCGGCCUCCUCGAGCUCGCCGCUGACGACGACGCGGAAGGCCUGCGCCGCGCGCUGGAGCGCGCGCCCCCCGCCGCCGCGGACGAGGCCGGCCUCUGGUACGGCCGCCGGAAGGCGCUCGAGCAGCGCACCCCGCUCAUGGUGGCCGCCACCUACGGCAGCCUCGCCGCGCUCCGCCUGCUGCUGUCCCUCCCCUCCGUCGACGUCAACCGCCGCUGCGGCCCCGACGGCACCACCGCCCUUCACUGCGCCGCCUCUGGUGGCUCGUCCUCGGCCGUCGAGGCCGUCAGGCUGCUCCUGGUGGCCGGGGCCGACGCCGACGCCACAGAUGCGUCCGGGUGCCGUCCUGCUGAUGUGAUCUCUGUGCCGCCGAAGAUGAUUGAUGCAAAGAUCGCCCUCCAGGAUCUGCUUGGGCUCCCAAAGUCUGGGCAUGGCGUGCUCCGGGUGGUGACAAGGGCCACAAACCUGACCUCGUCGCCGGUGUCAUCACCCACCGCCGAGGACGCUCGGUCUCCAUCAGCUGCUGUGAUGAUGAUGUCAAAGUUCCCAGACCUGCCGAGGGUUGCCACUUCAGAGAAGAAGGAAUACCCAGUGGAUCCAUCCCUGCCGGAUAUCAAGAACAGCAUCUAUGCUUCUGACGAGUUCCGCAUGUACUCCUUCAAGAUCAGGCCGUGCUCCCGGGCGUACUCGCAUGACUGGACCGAGUGCCCCUUUGUGCACCCUGGGGAGAACGCCCGGCGCCGCGAUCCGCGCAAGUAUCACUACAGUUGUGUUCCAUGCCCUGAUUUCAGAAAAGGUGUGUGCCGGCGUGGAGACAUGUGUGAGUAUGCUCAUGGGGUGUUUGAGUGCUGGCUCCACCCAGCGCAAUACCGCACUCGCCUCUGCAAGGAUGGCACCGGCUGCAAUCGCCGCGUCUGUUUCUUCGCGCACACCACCGAUGAGCUCCGCCCGCUGUAUGUCUCCACUGGGUCUGCAGUGCCAUCCCCUAGGGCCUCAGCAACGGCUGCAAUGGAGAUGGCGGCAGCAAUGGGCUUGAUGCCUGGUUCUCCGUCAUCGGUUUCGGCAGUCAUGUCCCCGUUUACCCCACCGAGGUCUCCUUCUGGCAAUGGGAUGCCCCCUUCUCUGGGCUGGCAGCAACCAAAUGUUCCGACGCUACACCUUCCGGGCAGCAGCCUUCAGUCGAGCAGACUCCGAAGCUCACUUAAUGCAAGGGAUAUGCAUAUGGAUGACUACUCCCUGUUGCAGGAUAUUGAUUCCCAGCUUAUAAACGAUCUGUGCUACUCGCGUCUUGGUUCAUCAGCAGGAGGGAACCACAGUUCUCGGACCAAGAGUCUGAACCCUUCAAACCUGGAUGAUCUCUUCUCUGCUGAGAUGGUCUCGUCCCCGAGGUACAACAAUGCUGAUCAAGGUGCUAUGUUUUCACCUUCCCAGAAGGCUGCUAUCCUUAAUCAGUUCCAGCAACAGCAGCAACUUCUUUCACCAAUCAACACAGGGUUCUCACCAAAGGCUGUGGACAACCAGCAGUUGCAUUCACGCUCAUCUCUACUGCAAGCAUCACUUGGGAUAUCCUCCCCUGGCCGGAUGUCCCCCCGAUGCGUCGAAUCUGGGUCGCCAAUGAACUCCCACCUAGCUGCCGCCCUUGCCCAGCGUGAGAAGCAACAGCAGCAGCAGCAGCAACAGCACCAGCAGACAAUGAGGAGCCUCAGUUCUCGCGAUCUCGGGCCCAGUGCUGCAAGAGCAUCGGCUGCUGUUGGCUCUCCUCUGAGCUCAUCAUGGUCCAAGUGGGGAUCUCCUUCAGGAGCUCCGGAUUGGGGCGUCAACGGUGAAGAACUGGGUAAGCUUCGCCGGUCAUCUUCCUUUGAGCUGAGAUCAGGCGGCGACGACCCAGAUCUCUCCUGGGUGCACACACUGGUUAAGGAGUCUCCACCAGAGAAGCAAGCCACCACAGCUGAAUCCAUCAACAACUCUGUCAGACCUUCACCUCAAAUGCAUCCCGGUGUAAGUAAUGGUGAAGGCUCCGGUGCGAGCACGCAGCUGAACCGACACGACCAAGCCGCAGUCAUUGGAGCGCUGCUCGAGCAGAUGCAGCUUGACGAGCAGAUCGGUAGUCUAGCAACAUAG